UACGGGGGGAGCAAGCGUUGUUCGGAUUUACUGGGCGUAAAGGGCGCGUAGGCGGCCACCGCAAGUCGACUGUGAAAUCUCCGGGCUUAACCCGGAAAGGUCAGCCGAUACUGCGGGGCUAGAGUGCAGAAGGGGCAACUGGAAUUCUCGGUGUAGCGGUGAAAUGCGUAGAUAUCGAGAGGAACACCUGCGGCGAAGGCAGGUCACUGGGCAGUUACUGACACUGAGGCACGAAGGCCAGGGGAGCAAACGGG
rnacentral:rRNA from 1 species